UAUGGUGACUAUAGCGUAGGGGUCCACCUCUUCCCAUUCCGAACAGAGAAGUUAAGCCCUACAGCGCCAAUGGUACUGCAGUAAUAUGUGGGAGAGUAGGUCGUCGCCAGCU
rnacentral:rRNA from 1 species